rnacentral:rRNA from 1 species
UACGAAGGGGGCGAGCGUUGUUCGGAUUUACUGGGCGUAAAGGGCGCGCAGGCGGCGAUCUUUGUCAGGCGUGAAAGCCCCGGGCUCAACCUGGGAACGGCGCUUGGGACGGGAUGGCUAGAGAUCGGGAGCGGAGAGUGGAAUUCCCAGUGUAGAGGUGAAAUUCGUAGAUAUUGGGAAGAACACCAGUGGCGAAGGCGGCUCACUGGCCCGAUACUGACGCUGAUGCACGAAAGCGUGGGGAGCAAACAGG